rnacentral:rRNA from 1 species
UACGAAGGGGGGCUAGCGUUGCUCGGAAUUACUGGGCGUAAAGCGCACGUAGGCGGCUUUCUAAGUCGGGGGGUGAAAUCCUGGAGCUCAACUCCAGAACUGCCUUCGAUACUGGAGAGCUUGAGUCCGGGAGAGGUGAGUGGAACUGCGAGUGUAGAGGUGAAAUUCGUAGAUAUUCGCAAGAACACCAGUGGCGAAGGCGGCUCACUGGCCCGGGUACUGACGCUGAGGUGCGAAAGCGUGGGGAGCAAACAGG